GCAUUGGUGGUUCAUGGUAGAAUCCUUGCCUUCUAUGCAAGAGACCCAGGUUCAAAUUUCCGGCCAGUGUA
rnacentral:tRNA from 1 species